AACUUCGGGUAAUUGCGGUCGGCAAUGGUCGGCUGAGGAAAGUCCAUGCCCGCACAAGCUGCGAUGCUUGUAGUGUUCGCGCCCAGCCCAAUAAGCUGAGGUACCUGAAAAGGUAACGGCGGAAAAAUGCGCUAACGGUUUUACCCAUGCGCUAGUAUUCCUGAAAAGUGCCACAGUGACGAAGCAAUGUGAGAAAUUGCAUUGAUGGAACGCGGUAAACCCCACGAGCGAGUAACCCAAACUUUAUGGUAGGGGCGUCCUGAGUCUGAAAAUGAACGAUGCCCAGGAGCUCGAAAGAGUAGAUAGAUGAUUACCGAAACGUAUUCUUUACCUGAGGAAUGCGUGGAACAAAACAUGGCUUAUAGAA
rnacentral:RNase_P_RNA from 2 species